rnacentral:lncRNA from 1 species
CCGCCCAAACACUUUGCCUGGACUUCAAGACGAGUGUGAUUCAACUGCUAAAUUACGACGAGAACACGAGCCAAAUUUUCUCUACUUCGAAAGCAAAGUAAAGUUGUUUUCCUCGUGGCUUCUACGAAGCUAUCAGGUAUUGUAUUUAUCUUGUUAUUCUGUAUUUAUAAGCGAGCUUUAAAGCGACACAAAAAUUUAAUAUGGCGAACUUGACCGAACCGGUUCGAACCGAUUUUAGUCGCUUUUGCCUUUGAAUUUCAGGUGCAUUUUUACUAAACUCUGUUCGAACUUCGUUCGUUAACACUCUUAAUUCACUCACCGUUGGAUUGUGUCUUACUUUAGGUAGAAAUUGGCUCCGAAAACCUCGUCUGAACAUUGAACUGAACGAGAAGCGGGUGCACAAGCUUAAAGCACGUGGGUAAGUUCACUGUCUUGGUAAUGAUGUUAUAUGUCGUUUAAAUUCUUUUAUUUCGGAUUUGUGGCUGAAAUACAUCGCUAGAAAGUGUUCUUGAGACUUUCUGCAUGUGUUUGUGUUAAUUUUGUUUAAAAUUUUGAAAGUUUUGCUAAGAAAUAGCCGAAAAGGGCAUUGGUAUUUGUGCGUCGGUUGUGUCGAACAGUCGCAUGUUUAAUUUAUUCGCUGUUUUAGAACUACGAAUAAGUUUGUAUAAAUGGUCUCUAAACUGCUCGAAUUUCAUUUGCAAUGAUUUUUAGAUGCUCGAAGUUGUCUGACACAAGGCUUUUACUGUAGUAUAAACUCAAAAUAUCCACUGUCAAUGCAUGCAACACUUCAAUUUUUGAGGCCAUGUUAGUCGUUCAUUGUGCAUGUUGCCUGUUGAGCAUUUAAACAAGUCGCUAAUUCUUAUUUUAAAUCCAUUUUAGAAUGAAGAUGAUCACCAACUAAUCCUUAUUAUCAACAUUCAAAGUUAUCCAGACUAACAAGUAACAUGAACGAAUCCAGGACAGAAGCCGAAUUUCUCUGCCUAAAGAAAGCAAAGUGAAGUUGUUUUCUUCACGGCUUCAACGAAGCUUCCAGGUACGAGCUUGACCGAACCGGUUCUAACCGCUUUUGGUUGCCUUUGCCUUUGAAUUUCAGGUGUAUUCUAACUCAAUUUGGUUAAAACUUGUUUGUUAGCACUCUUAACUAAUAUAUUUUCGAAUUUUAGGUAGAAAUUGGCUCUGAAAAUUUCGUCUGAACGUUGAAUUACUAGUGGAUAAGUGGGAAGCGCGUUUCCACGUGGGGUAAGUUUGGCUCUUAUUUAUCGUUUAAAAUUAUUUUUUAUUUCGGAUUUGUUGCCGAGAUAAAUCACUAAAGAGUUAACUUGAGAUUUCCUGCCUGUUUUAUCGGUUUUAAAAGUUUCAUUGAGGAAUAGCCAAAAGUGGGUGUCCUCCCGCAGAAAAUUUUUUACAUUUUUGAAGCAAUAUAUUAUAUAUGCACAAUUUGCGAACUUCACAGGCUAUAUUUUCCUCAUUUUACAACAAUUUUACUCCUAUGAAGAAUUCAUCUUCAAUGAAGAUGCUCUUUCCAGCCAUGGUAAUGAUUUCGUUCUUCUGAUCUUGUCCAGCUCAAAAUUUAGGCGAUGCAUAGCUGGAAUUACCCAUUGUAUUUUUCGGCUAUACUAAAAUGCAUGGCACUUAACAUCAAUGAUUUUUAACUAUAUAUGAUCAUUAAUUUUCUUUCUAUAUCUAUUUUCAGGUUGAAAAUGAUUACAAAUCAACCCAAUGCUACGUUAUUUUGGAAAAAGAUGCUGACCAAUGCUUGAGACGUGUUUGACAUCAGGCUUCUUAUUUGUAUCACAGCCAAGCAGAAUCGGACAGCGGAGGAGGAGGCGAAUUUUAUCUAUCUGAAAUGCCCCUAUAACGCUAAAGUGCCCGCCCAAACAAUUUGUCGUGAACAUCAGAUGACUGGGUUCAAAUUGUUAAAUUGCAACUGGAAUAUGGGCCAACUCCAUGCACUUCAAAAGCAACGUUGCUUUCUUAAUGGCUUCUCUGGAGCAGACGUAUAGGUAUUGUAUUAUUUAUCUUGUUACGUUUCAUCAAUUCACUCUUCAGUAUAUUCUGUUACUCUGCUAAUAUCAUAAGGCACCACCUCGUGUCAUUGUCUUCUGUGCACUCGAAAUUAACAAAUUCGAGAAUUCUACUGCGCCUACUGCCAGGGUUUAGGAGAUCAUAAUGGUGUAUUUAUUUUUCUUUUCCAAAUCUUUCAGAUCGCCAGCAAACCCAAUGUUAAAUGUUGCAUCAAGUGGAUUAUUACGUUUACAUCGUAUUGGACCGGAUCGGAAAACGCCUUUGUAGAACGGACAGCCGCCGCAGAGACAUCACUGAUGCACGUGAGGAAGGAAGAAAGGCAGGCAUGCAACAUGAACAGAACUAUAAAAUAAGCAGCUGCCUUACCUCGACUGUGAAAAUCAAAACGUCGACUCCAUCGCCACAUGGGAGUCGAUACAAUUUACGAGACAUCCUGCAGGACCACCACAAGAUCGCCUCGGAUUUUAUUGGAUUUGUGUACCUGAACAAAAGACUACAGCUAAGACGUACGACGCAACCGACGCCCUACAGAUGAACCGACGCCCUACAGAUGAACCGACGCCACUGAGGUAAUAUCCCAGCGUAUCCUUUAAAGUGAUAAAUACUAUAGUGACGUAUUGCCUCAGCAUCGAUCACAAGAAAGAAGACGUCUCAGGUUAGCGUAUUACACACACUAAAAUUUCGGGGCAACAUUUUCAUGUUUCGGCCAUGUGUGUAAAUAUUCGUACUGUAAUGCAUGCAAUAAAUUUAUUGGGGGACGCCCUGCGGACAUCGGUUAGCGGACAUCCGGACUUUCG